UCAUCAUGGCCCUUACGCCUGGGCUACACACGUGCUACAAUGGUCGGACAGAGGGUUGCCAAGCCGCGAGUGGAGCUAAUCUCACAAAACCGAUCGUAGUCCGGAUCGCAGUCUGCAACUCGACUGCGUGAAGUCGGAAUCGCUAGUAAUCGCGAAUCAGAAUGUCGCGGUGAAUACGUUCCCGGGCCUUGUACACACCGCCCGUCACACCAUGGGAGUGGGUUGCACCAGAAGUAGCUAGUCUAACCUUCGGGAGGACGGUUACCACGGUGUGAUUCAUGACUGGGGUGAAGUCGUAACAAGGUAGCCGUAGGGAA
rnacentral:rRNA from 1 species